rnacentral:lncRNA from 1 species
UGAAAUAAUGCACAUAAAGCCUUCUCAUUAGAACAUUAUCUAAAGGAAAAAAAUAUGUUAAAUGCUACAUUGAUUUUUGUAACAGAACAAAAUUUAUCUAAAAUCAUGAAAUAGAAUGUAGUUACCAAACUUCUUUAAAAUUUUUCAGCAGGCUUUCAUUAAUUUAGGCAAUUUAAAAAAGUCUUUAAUUGAAGUAUAGUGUUAUUGAGAUAUAGUUAUUAAUUUACAGUAUUUAAUGUUAUAGGUGUACAAAAUAGUGACUCAUAGUUUUAAAGGUUAUACUCUCUUUAUAGUUACUACAAAAUAUUGGCAUUAUUCCUUGUGCUGUGUAACAUAUCCUUAUAGCUUAUUUUAUACCUAAUAAUUUGUACUUCUUAAUCCCCUAUACCAAUUACCCCUAUCUCCUUUCCUCUUCCCACUAGUAACCGCUGUGAAUUUGGUUCUUUUUGUUACACUCACUAGUUGGUUGUAUUUUUUUAGAUCCCACUCAUAAGUGAUAUCAUAUAGUAUUUGUCUUUCUCUGACUUGUUUCACUUAACACAAUACCCUCAAGUCUAUCUAUAUCACUGAAAAUGGCAAAAUUUCAUUCUUUUUAUUGCUAAGUAGUAUUCCAUUGUGGAAUACACACACACACACACACACACACACACACACCUUUAUCCAUUCAUCCAUUGAUGGAUUGAUAUGCUUCCAUAUCUUGGCAAUUACAAAUAAUACUGCUAUGAACAUUGGGAUGCAUGUAUCUUUUCAAAUUAGUGUCUUUUUUUUUUUUCAGAUAUAUACCCAGGAAUGGAAUUGCUGGGUCACAGAGUAGUUCUAUUUUUAAUUUUUUGAGAAACCUCCAUACUGCUUUCUACAGUGGCUGCACAAAUUUACAUUCUCACCAACAGUAUACAGGGUUUCCUUUUCUUCACAUCCUCACCAUCACUUGUUAUUACUGUAUUUUUUUUGAUGAUAGAUGGUAUUCUUAAAGACCUAAAGGAAGAUAAAUAAGUCUGUUAACAAAAGGUUAAAUCCAUACUUUACUAAAGUGGAUUUUUUAAUAGUUCAGAAUUAUACUUUGCAAAUAAUGAUUCAAAUUUCAAAAGGAACAAAUCCAUGUUAAUAAAAAUAGCAGUUUUCAAAAAUCUAUCCAAACUAUGUUUUCUCUUAUAUAUGUAGUUUCUUUUUUUUUAAGAAUACAAAUAAAAAGGUUUACAUUAUUUUUCUUGGAAAAUUGUCUCUGGCUAUCUUAUGAGAGUGAAAUUUAAAUCUGAAGAGAGCAGAUAUUAAUUGAGUCCAGACUAAUCAAAAUAUGCUCUCAAGGGCAUUCUUUAUAUGAAUGUUUGGGCUAGGUCAAUCUUCCAAAUCCACAAGCAGCCUUGAGAGUUGUGAAACUGGGUGGAGGAUGUGUAUCUAAGACUAAUCUGAUGCCAAAAAGAGUUGUUAAAUGAUCAUGGAAAAAGUAAAUUUCUUCCCAGGGAAAGUGCACCAAAAAUGUUGUUUGAUUUAAAAAAAAAAAUCUUAUCCAUUUGAAAUAGAGUAAGAAAGUAUGCCUUCCUGAGAUAAUCAGGUCUCUAUUAGAUAAAAUCACUCCGUUCGAUGUAUAGGUAUUCACAGCAGGGAGCUUGUCUUGAUCAGAAAGAAUAAGGUAGUCUUAAAAUGUAAGUACAGCACUGAAUCCUCUUUAGCCAAUACCACUACUGGGUAAGAUGGACUGUGUAAUUAAUGCCUGUGUGUCUCAUGAUAAGUACUGCAAACAGUAGUCCUUCAGUAUAACUAAGGUCCCAGUAAAUCACCAGAGAAACUCAACUUCUAAAAGCAGAUUAGGUCUGUUAUAUUAAUAACAGAUUAGUAAAUAAUAUAUUUCUUCAGUGUGUCUUUUUUAUAGGAUUGUGACUUUUUAAAAAAGUAUUGAUAUUCUCUUAGAUUUUCUUUGGUAUCAGUUUCCAUCAUUUGGAAUAAGCCCAACCUAUACAGAGAGUUGUAAAUCCCAAGUUGUUAUUAGUACUUACGUUAUUAGUAAUCAUAAAAAUCCUUCAAACUUUAGAACAUUAUAUUAGACUCCGAAGAUUAAGUAUAGGCAAAUGCAGAUUUGCUAUAAGUUAAUUUAAAAGGGCAAAUUAAAAUUACAACAGCCAUAGUGUUCUUCAAUUGUUCUUUUUUAAAGCAUAACAAUAGCAUAUUUUUUACCAACAUAGGAAAUCUUUGUUAUUCAACAGUUAUAAUGAAUCAUGAAAUGAUGACACAAUUUGUUAGCUAGUUGUCCUGAUCAUUGAAUUUGAAAAUACUGUUCCUACAAAGAACUUUUUUUCAUCAUUGACUCUCACCUCACAAUGCCUGAUUUCUUUCUGUUCUGACUCUGAAUGAGACUCAGAAUUAAUGGUAAUAAGCUUAAAUGAAUUUUGUUAUGGAGCUGUUGGGAAAGUGUCUAGGUUGCUUUGCUCCAGGUUUAGACACUGAGACAGAGAUUUCAGUGCAGUGUAUUUGGAAGAUGACCUAAGAAAUCACUAGAUGGGAAGUAGAGAAGAGAGACAGGGAAGGGAAGGAUGCCCAUAAGGGUGCAAUAUGGAGAAGGUCCCUGCUGUGAGCAGCUGCCUCCCAUGUAGUUAGGGAUUAUGAAAAACCACAGAUCAUGCCUCAGAGUUAUCCCUUCUGAGUGAAGGGAGAAGCUGGGGUUUCCAAAUAUUCAUUCUAAAAAACAUCAGCCCAGACUGGAGUCACAGGUGAAGUCAAUUAAACUUUUAAAGGAUAGAAAAUUCCAAUAUUUUAAAAACUUUUCUGGAGUUACUAUUGUGCCUCAGUGGUUUAAGGACCCCACAUAGUGCCAUGAGGACGCAAGCUCAAUCCCUGGCCUUUGGGUUAAGGAUCUGGCACUGCUGCAAGCUGCAGCAUAGGUCACAGAUGUGGCUUGGAUUCUAUGUUGCCAUGGCUGUGGCAUAGGCUGGCAGCUGCAUCUCCGAUUCACUCCUAGCCCAGGAACUUUCAUAUGCUGUGGAUGUGGCUGUAAAAAGAUAAAAAAUUUUCUAAGUAUGAACUGCCAAAAUAUUUCACCAUGAAAAUAUAUAUAGAUAUGUUAUUUAUGGAUGUUAAUGUAAAAUGCUAAAUAAAUCACAUAAAUAUAAUCCUGUAGUGCAUUUAAUUAUUAAUAUAAAGAAAGUAAAUGGAAUUUAUUUCAGUAAUGUAGGAUGAUUUGAUAGUUGAAAAACCUUUAAUAUAAUUCACUAUGUUAAUAAGUUGAAUGACCAAAAAUUAAACCCAUUUGGUAAAAUUCAUUAUUCCUGGUUUUAAAAAGAAUUUAAAUAGGGUGUUCUAGGGAGUUCUCUUGUGGUGCAGUGGGUUAGGGAUCUGGCAUUUUUCACUGCAGUAGCUUGGGUCGCUGCUAUAGUACAUGUUCAAUCAAUCCCUGGCCUGGGAACUUCCAUAUGGCCCAGGCACAGCCAAAAAAAAAAAAGAGAGAGAGAGAGAGAGAGAGAAAUAAAAUUUGAUUAAAUUAAUACAUGAUUAAUGCUAAACACUAAAACCAUUUGCAUUAAGUUCAGAACAAAAUAAGAAUGCUCACUAUAUUCAUAAAGAUGAUAUCUGUUGCCUCUAACAAAUUACCUCAAAACUUAAAAGUUAAACCAGUAUUUGUGAUCUCAGUUUCAGUGGGUCAGGAAAUCAGAAGCAGUUUAGCUGAGUGCUUCUAGUUCAAAGUCUCUUACAAGACUGCAGUCAAGGUGUUGGUUCUGCAAUCAUGUCUAGUCUCUCUCUACUGGGGAGGAGCCCUACCUUACUACUUAUGCCAGAAUAAAACCUUAAUGAUCAAAUAUUUAAAUGCACACACACAUCUGAGGUAACUUUCUUUUUUAAAACAUCUUUAAGUUCCUGUCGUGGCUCAGUGGUAACAAACUGACUAGUAUCCAUAAGGAUGUGGGUUCAGUCCCUGACUUUGCUCAGCAGGUUAAGGAUCCGGCACUGCCGUGAGCUGUGGUGUAGGUUACAGAUACAGCUUGGAUCUGGCGUCGCUGUGUCUGUUGUGUAGGCCAGCAGCCGCAGCUCCAAUUCGACCACUAGCCUGGGAACUUCCAUAUAUGGGCAGGUGUGGCCCUAAAAAAAAAAUCUUUGAUAGGAAAUCUGGAAGACUGUAAACCCCAAAAUCAUAAAAGUAAAUAUUUUAUUUAAAAAUUUGUUAAAACUUUUUUGAUAAUAAAGUUGCCAUAAACAAAAGUAAAACAACACAACAAAAGCAAACACACUUGGAAAUAUUAAUAAUAUAUAUCAGAAAAAAAAGCUUAUUUCCUUAAUGGAGAAAAUCUUUUAAAAAUAUAUGAGCGAUUCUAAAACUAUUAGAAUAAUGUGCAAAGUAAAUAUAGUUUACAAAUAAGGAACCGAAAAGGCUUAUUAUAAUGAUAAGAUACCCAGCCCCCUCAUUAUUUAUAAAUCUCAAUGUUUCCAUAUUUUCAUGGAUCAGAUUAACAAUGAUACUAAAAUGUAAAAUUCUAUGGCAAGAAUGUAAACUUAAGUUUAAAUUGCUAUAAUUGCUUUUGAAGUUAAAUUUUAAUUUAAAAAAUAUGCUUGAUGUCUAGCCUAGCAAUUCUCUUAUUAGAAAUUUAUUCUAUAAAAAUUUAUACUGUUUAGUGAAUCUGCAGGGUUGUUCACUUCUGCUUUGUUUGAAAUUGUGAAAAACAAUCUAAAAGUCUCUCAAUAGAGGGCUAGCUAAUUAUAUAUAUAUGUAUUUAUUCAUAUAAUGAAAUAUUGGAUAUCAGAGUAGAAGUGAGACUAACUUUAUUUUCUACCCCAUAUUUUAUGGUCUGAUUAUUAAAAUUGUAAAAUAAUUUUCAAUAGUGUGAUUACUUAGAAAUUAAGAAAAUAUUCAGUAAUUUGAGGAACAAAAUUAGAAGCAACUUUUUUCAAAGUAUGUUUUGUAGAAAACAGUCUUGGAAAUGCUAUUAAAACAAUGACAAAAGCCAUAACAACAACUACAACAAAAUAGUUUCCUUUAGUCAAAAUAAUCAGACAUAUCCUGAACUCUACCUCAGACACAAUAAUGGGUAAAUGGGUAUACACAUAUGCAAUUCUCUUAAAAAUCUUGCAAACGGAGUUCCCACUAUGGCACAGUGGGUUAAGGAUCUGGCAUUGCCACAGCUGUAGCUUAGACUGCAGCUGU